UAACACCAGCCCCCCGAGUGGUGGGGAUGAUUAUUUGGCCUAAAGCGUCCGUAGCCGGCUUUGUAAAUCUCUCGUUAAAUCCAGCGUCCUAAGCGUUGGGCUGCGAGAGACACUGCAGAGCUAGAGGGUGGGAGAGGUCAGCGGUAUUCCUGGGGUAGGGGCGAAAUCCAUUGAUCCCAGGAGGACCACCAGUGGCGAAGGCUGCUGUCCAGAACACGCCUGACGGUCAGGGACGAAAGCUGGGGUAGCGAACCGGAUUAGAUACCCGGGUAGUCCCUGCUGUAAACGAUGCGAGCUAGGUGUUGGGGCGGCUACGAGCCGCUUCAGUGCCGCAGCGAAGGCGUUAAGCUCGCCGCCUGGGGAGUACGGCCGCAAGGCUG
rnacentral:rRNA from 1 species